rnacentral:rRNA from 1 species
AUACGGAGGGUGCAAGCGUUAAUCGGAAUUACUGGGCGUAAAGCGCGCGUAGGCGGAUAUUUAAGUCUCAUGUGAAAGCCCUGGGCUCAACCUGGGAACUGCAUGGGAUACUGGGUAUCUAGAAUACAGUAGAGGGUAGCGGAAUUUCAGGUGUAGCGGUGAAAUGCGUAGAGAUCUGAAGGAACAUCAGUGGCGAAGGCGACUACCUGGACUGAUAUUGACGCUGAGGUGCGAAAGCGUGGGGAGCAAACGGAAUUAGAAACCCUAGUAGUCC